rnacentral:rRNA from 1 species
UACGUAGGGGGCAAGCGUUGUCCGGAUUUAUUGGGCGUAAAGAGCGUGUAGGCGGCCGUACAGGUCAGCUGUGAAAACUCGAGGCUCAACCUCGAGACGUCGGUUGAAACCGUACGGCUAGAGUCCGGAAGAGGAGAGUGGAAUUCCCGGUGUAGCGGUGAAAUGCGCAGAUAUCAGGAAGAACACCCGUGGCUAAGGCGGCUCUCUAGUACGGUACUGACGCUGAGACGCGAAAGCGUGGGGAGCGAACACG